ensembl:lncRNA
GUGAUUGGUCAGACCAUAGAUACACAUAGAAAGCAGCGCGCUAGUGUAUCUGGUCUAUGUAUAUCUAUGGUCGGCACGUCUGGUAGCAUCUCUGGCUGCUGUUGAUCUUGUUUCUGGAGUAAAACACGGUGGAAGCUGAAUUAGUGAGGAUGACUCCUGCUCCUGUCAUCUCUAAGCUCCUCACACAUCUUUACCUGCACAUGAGGAAAAUCACUCCUGUAGAAUGCAGAUGUUCAGAGGGAGAUGAUGCCACAUCUGGUCCAGCCGAUGGAAGGUCUUGAAGUUCUCUGACUGGCCUCGACUGAAGAUGGUCGUCUCACUGGAUUUAAGGUUCAGAUGCUCAGUAACAAACUCCACCAAUGUGCCAACAGGGAAGCUUUAGGUUUAUUAAAUGUUGCUAUGAAGGUUUCGCUGUUUUUCUUUGUGAAUGCAAUGAGCUCCAACUGAAACUUGAAUUAGAACUUAGAAGUAAAUUCUUCCAUCUGAAAGGAUUUAGUUGCAUUAAUAACCUCAUAACAUUCUAAUUUUUAUUCCAGUCUUGGUUGGAAAUAGAAUCUCUGUAUUGAUUCAGGUAAAAACUGAACUUCACAGCAUGUUGGAGCAAAACAACCAGAUGAAAACUGUGAUGGUGUUGGAUUGUCAGGCCGUAAUGUUGCAGCCCAAAGCAGCUUUUCUAGCUCAGUUCAUUCUGACAUUCAGCUAUGAAUCAACACAGCAGAUGGUGAUCCAUGCUGUGGAAGUCUCACAUCUCCUGAUUUAAUGGAGCUGCUUUGCACUUUUUACACUGUUUAUUCACCAACACUUUAUUUAAUAAAAGUCCCAUCUAGUUUUUAUGAGGAAAGUGAUGUUUUAAUUUCUCUGUGAAUAACUGCAGUCUAAUGCAACAGCUGGAGUUGUAACAUCUGUCCUGAUUAGGGUUGUCAAGGUUAACCGGUUUUACAAUAACCACGAUUAUAAAUAGAUAUUCGUCACAUUUUUCACAACCACGAUUAUCCGUAGAAAAGCCUCGCGAGAGGUGCAAUGCAAGAAGCGUGAGCUGCGCUGAGUGGAGAGUGGAGAGAGAGUGGCUCCUUGGCCUGUGCGCGCGCUCCUGUCUAAUCGGCAUCACUGCGCGCACACACACACACACACACAGAGAGAGAGAGAGAAUUAUAUGAUCAGUUAUGACAGAUUCUUUACUCGAAGUGUCCCUAAUAUUGUGGCCGCUGUGCGCAAUGAGGUUGCCAAGAUGGGACUGUCCGCCGCACGCGCGGUAACUGUCGGUUCCGAAGUCAGCGCCGGGCCGCCCCGAGGACCCCCCGCCCCCCGAGUUUCCUCCCGGAGC